UACGAAGGGGGCUAGCGUUGCUCGGAAUCACUGGGCGUAAAGGGUGCGUAGGCGGGUCGUUAAGUCAGGGGUGAAAUCCUGGAGCUCAACUCCAGAACUGCCUUUGAUACUGGCGAUCUCGAGUCCGGGAGAGGUGAGUGGAACUGCGAGUGUAGAGGUGAAAUUCGUAGAUAUUCGCAAGAACACCAGUGGCGAAGGCGGCUCACUGGCCCGGUACUGACGCUGAGGUGCGAAAGCGUGGGAGCAAACAGGA
rnacentral:rRNA from 1 species